UGCGGUGUAGUUCAAUGGUAGAGCACUUACCUAGCAUGUUUGAGGCCCUGGGUUCAAAUCUUGGUACUGCCA
rnacentral:tRNA from 1 species